rnacentral:lncRNA from 1 species
GGUACCUAUCCUUGUCUACCAACAACCGUAUUAUUAUUAUUACUCAUAUAGUAUUUCUUUUCUUAAUAAUUAUUAUAUGUUUUGUUCAUUUCUUGUGCACUUUUUCGGCCUGGCCUGGGAUCCACACACACACGUACUGCAAAGCGCAGACACGUAGGACUAAUAAUAAUGCAAAUUAUUUGGAUAGGAAAAUCUUGUGGUGUCUUGCGUUACACCGUGUCGCCAUCAUGAAUCUGGCGCCCAUGCUUUGCUGGGCCAACCGUUUCUUGUGUGUCCAUCCAAAUAAUAGCAUAACAUUAUAAGACAGUACGUGGGCAACCAACCUACCUGUUGCUGUUGGUACUCCUAUAUUAGACUAGACUAGUGGUUGAUAUUCAUGUGCUACCCAUGUGCCGUGGUUGCCUUGCAGCACUGGCAUUACCCAAUUAAGUUAGUUAGUUGUGUUAGGCUGGGAUUAUUGUUAGGGCUGUCUUGUUUUAUAUUUUUUUUAUAUACAAUAAACAGGGGAAAAGGGCGGCCUUGUCUGCUUGUAUAUCACCAUUGAAUUGAAUUGAAUUGAAUUGAAUAAUGGAGCAGUAUAAUGCUGCCAACCUAGCUAUGGAUGAAUCAAUGAACGAUAUACUCCUAUGCUCGAUCGACAAGAGUACAAGACAAAGUAUAAACCCAACACCAUAUUCUACAUUAUGCAUGCAUCCGUAUAUUCUACUGUAUAGUCCGGUAUACAUAUACACAAUUAUACAUUGAGUCCAGUUUCAUUAAUACCAAUAAUCAAACUAAAACAAGUACUUAGCUUAGAUAUUAAUUAUUUAACAAGAUACUACACAUAUGGUAAUGGAUAAUAAUAAUAAUUAAGCCGCUAGCUUAUGGUUUCAUUGAUGUGAACGAUCGAGUGCAGGGUAUCCCCCGGACGGUGCUGCUGGACACCAAGACGGGCAGCAACCUGCUGCAGUGGCCCGUGGAGGAAGCGGAGACGCUGCGCACCAACUCCACGGACCUCAGCGGCAUCACCAUCGACUACGGCUCGGCGUUCCCGCUCAACCUCCGGCGCGCCACGCAGCUGGACAUCGAGGCGGAGUUCCAGCUCGACCGCCGCGCCGUCAUGUCGCUCAACGAGGCCGACGUGGGGUACAACUGCAGCACGAGCGGUGGCGCCGCGGCCCGCGGUGCCCUCGGCCCCUUCGGCCUGCUCGUCCUCGCCGACAAGCACCUGCGCGAGCAGACGGCCGUCUACUUCUACGUGGCCAAGGGCCUGGACGGCUCCCUCACCACGCACUUCUGCCAGGACGAGUCCCGGUCCUCCAGCGCCAACGACAUCGUCAAGCGCGUCGUCGGCAGCUCCGUCCCCGUGCUGGACGACGAGACCACGCUCUCGCUCCGCGUGCUCGUCGACCACUCCAUCGUCGAGAGCUUCGCGCAGGGCGGAAGGUCGACGGCAACCUCGCGCGUCUACCCCACCGAGGCCAUCUACGCCAACGCCGGCGUGUUCCUCUUCAACAACGCCACCGCCGCGCGCGUCACCGCCAAGAAGCUCGUCGUCCACGAGAUGGACUCAUCCUACAACCACGACUACAUGGUCACGGACAUCUGAUGCUGCUGCUGAUCCGUCGAUCGUCC